rnacentral:lncRNA from 1 species
UUCUGUUACUUCGAUUAAUAUAAUUUACAAUCGAACCUAUUAUUAAUUUUUACCAUUCUUUGGUUGAUUUUUAAAUCUUUGUAUAGAGCUGCAAAAUCCAAGCAAAUAGGAGUUAGUGAAGUGAAGAGAAGUGAAGGCCAAUACUCAUGCGAACUAGAUUAAGAGAACGAUUGAUGGCAGGGGUUGUAAUUCCAAAGAGAAACAGGAGCA